rnacentral:rRNA from 1 species
AGAGUGAACGCUGGCGGUAGGCCUAACACAUGCAAGUCGAACGGCAGCACAGUGGUAGCAAUACCAUGGGUGGCGAGUGGCGGACGGGUGAGGAAUACAUCGGAAUCUACCUUUUCGUGGGGGAUAACGUAGGGAAACUUACGCUAAUACCGCAUACGCCCUUCGGGGGAAAGCCGGGGAUCGCAAGACCUGGCGCGGAUAGAUGAGCCGAUGUCGGAUUAGCUAGUUGGUGAGGUAAUGGCUCACCAAGGCGACGAUCCGUAGCUGGUCUGAGAGGAUGAUCAGCCACACUGGAACUGAGACACGGUCCAGACUCCUACGGGAGGCAGCAGUGGGGAAUAUUAGGACAAUGGGCGCAAGCCUGAUCCAGCCAUACCGCGUGGGUGAAGAAGGCCUUACGGUUGUAAAGCCCUUUUGUGGAAAGAAAGCUAUUACGUUAAUACCGGUGUUCUGACGUAACCAAAGAACUAAGCACCGACUAACUUCGUGCCAGCAGCCGACGGUAAUCGUA